UGGGGAAUAUUGCACAAUGGGCGAAAGCCUGAUGCAGCAACGCCGCGUGAGGGACGACGGCCUUCGGGUUGUAAACCUCUUUUAGCAAGGAAGAAGCGAAAGUGACGGUACUUGCAGAAAAAGCGCCGGCUAACUACGUGCCAGCAGCCGCGGUAAUACGUAGGGCGCAAGCGUUAUCCGGAAUUAUUGGGCGUAAAGAGCUCGUAGGCGGUUUGUCGCGUCUGCUGUGAAAACCCGAGGCUCAACCUCGGGCCUGCAGUGGGUACGGGCAGACUAGAGUGCGGUAGGGGAGAUUGGAACUCCUGGUGUAGCGGUGGAAUGCGCAGAUAUCAGGAAGAACACCGAUGGCGAAGGCAGAUCUCCGGGCCGUAACUGACGCUGAGGAGCGAAAGGGUGGGGAGCAAACAGGCUUAGAUACCCUGGUAGUCCACCCCGUAAACGUUGGGAACUAGUUGUGGGGUCCAUUCCACGGAUUCCGUGACGCAGCUAACGCAUUAAGUUCCCCGCCUGGGGAGUACGGCCGCAAGGCCUAAAACU
rnacentral:rRNA from 1 species